AUAAGCAUGUAAAAUAACAAGAAAUUUCCUUUCACCAGACUCUCCAAAUUCCAUGCCCCUCAUCAAAGCUUCAGCCAGACCUAGAAGUUUAUCUGCUGAAGCUGUAUACACCCCAUCAGUAGCCCAUCCUGCAGUUGGCUAACUCUGAUUCCAAAUUCCUUUCCGGUGGCGUCCAUCUGCUGUGCAAAAUGUUGUGAAAAGGCUUCCUAUUG
rnacentral:lncRNA from 10 species